AUUGAACGCUGGCGGCAUGCUUUACACAUGCAAGUCGAACGGCAGCACGGGGGCAACCCUGGUGGCGAGUGGCGAACGGGUGAGUAACACAUCGGAACGUGUCCAGUUGUGGGGGAUAACCCAUCGAAAGGUGGGCUAAUACCGCAUGAGCUGGCAACAGGAAAGCGGGGGACCCGCAAGGGCCUUGUGCGAUUGGAGCGGCCGAUGUCCGAUUAGCUAGUUGGUGGGGUAAAGGCCUACCAAGGCUUCGAUCGGUAGCUGGUCUGAGAGGAUGAUCAGCCACACUGGGACUGAGACACGGCCCAGACUCCUACGGGAGGCAGCAGUGGGGAAUUUUGGACAAUGGGGGCAACCCUGAUCCAGCCAUGCCGCGUGAGUGAAGAAGGCC
rnacentral:rRNA from 1 species